rnacentral:rRNA from 1 species
UGGGGAAUAUUGCACAAUGGGCGCAAGCCUGAUGCAGCCAUGCCGCGUGUGUGAAGAAGGCCUUCGGGUUGUAAAGCACUUUCAGCGGGGAGGAAGGCGAUAAGGUUAAUAACCUUGUCGAUUGACGUUACCCGCAGAAGAAGCACCGGCUAACUCCGUGCCAGCAGCCGCGGUAAUACUGAGGGUGCAAGCGUUAAUCGGAAUUACUGGGCGUAAAGCGCACGCAGGCGGUUGAUUGAGUCAGAUGUGAAAUCCCCGGGCUUAACCCGGGAAUUGCAUCUGAUACUGGUCAGCUAGAGUCUUGUAGAGGGGGGUAGAAUUCCAUGUGUAGCGGUGAAAUGCGUAGAGAUGUGGAGGAAUACCGGUGGCGAAGGCGGCCCCCUGGACAAAGACUGACGCUCAGGUGCGAAAGCGUGGGGAGCAAACAGG